CACUAAGCCAGUGGUGAACUCCACAUCCGCAUCCUUUGCUGAGGAUACGGUUAACGGAGCGAAAGCGACGUUCAACCGCAAAACAAGCAGAGGGGGCUUAGUGGUGGGGUGACUGCGUACCUUUUGUAUAAUGGGUCAGCGACUUAUAUUCUGUAGCAAGGUUAACCGAAUAGGGGAGCCGGAGGGAAACCGAGUCUUAAUUGGGCGUUAAGUUGCAGGGUAUAGACCCGAAACCCGGUGAUCUAGCCAUGGGCAGGUUGAAGGUUGGGUAACACUAACUGGAGGACCGAACCGACUAAUGUUGAAAAAUUAGCGGAUGACCUGUGGCUGGGGGUGAAAGGCCAAUCAAACCGGGAGAUAGCUGGUUCUCCCCGAAAGCUAUUUAGGUAGCGCCUCGUGAAUUCAUCUCCGGGGGUAGAGCACUGUUUCGGCUAGGGGGCCAUCCCGGCUUACCAACCCGAUGCAAACUGCGAAUACCGGAGAAUGUUAUCACGGGAGACACACGGCGGGUGCUAACGUCCGUCGUGAAGAGGGAAACAACCCAGACCGCCAGCUAAGGUCCCAAAGUCAUGGUUAAGUGGGAAACGAUGUGGGAAGGCCCAGACAGCCAGGAUGUUGGCUUAGAAGCAGCCAUCAUUUAAAGAAAGCGUAAUAGCUCACUGGUCGAGUCGGCCUGCGCGGAAGAUGUAACGGGGCUAAACCAUGCACCGAAGCUGCGGCAGCGAACGUAUCACCCAAGACAACUUUACGGAGUUGACGAUUGACGGAGCGAAGCGACGUCAAAGCGUUCAUUAAAGUCGAGUUGGCUUAGGGAUACGUUCGUUGGGUAGGGGAGCGUUCUGUAAGCCUGUGAAGGUGUGUCGUGAGGCAUGCUGGAGGUAUCAGAAGUGCGAAUGCUGACAUAAGUAACGAUAAAGCGGGUGAAAAGCCCGCUCGCCGGAAGACCAAGGGUUCCUGUCCAACGUUAAUCGGGGCAGGGUGAGUCGACCCCUAAGGCGAGGCCGAAAGGCGUAGUCGAUGGGAAACGGGUUAAUAUUCCCGUACUUGGUGUUACUGCGAAGGGGGGACGGAGAAGGCUAUGUUGGCCGGGCGACGGUUGUCCCGGUUUAAGCGUGUAGGUGUGUGUUCCAGGUAAAUCCGGUUCACUUUAACACUGAGGCGUGACGACGAGGCACUACGGUGCUGAAGCAACAAAUGCCCUGCUUCCAGGAAAAGCCUCUAAGCAUCAGGUAACAUCAAAUCGUACCCCAAACCGACACAGGUGGUCAGGUAGAGAAUACCAAGGCGCUUGAGAGAACUCGGGUGAAGGAACUAGGCAAAAUGGUGCCGUAACUUCGGGAGAAGGCACGCUGACACGUAGGUGAAGUGAUUUACUCAUGGAGCUGAAGUCAGUCGAAGAUACCAGCUGGCUGCAACUGUUUAUUAAAAACACAGCACUGUGCAAACACGAAAGUGGACGUAUACGGUGUGACGCCUGCCCGGUGCCGGAAGGUUAAUUGAUGGGGUCAGCGCAAGCGAAGCUCCUGAUCGAAGCCCCGGUAAACGGCGGCCGUAACUAUAACGGUCCUAAGGUAGCGAAAUUCCUUGUCGGGUAAGUUCCGACCUGCACGAAUGGCGUAAUGAUGGCCAGGCUGUCUCCACCCGAGACUCAGUGAAAUUGAACUCGCUGUGAAGAUGCAGUGUACCCGCGGCAAGACGGAAAGACCCCGUGAACCUUUACUAUAGCUUGACACUGAACAUUGAGCCUUGAUGUGUAGGAUAGGUGGGAGGCUUUGAAGUGUGGACGCCAGUCUGCAUGGAGCCGACCUUGAAAUACCACCCUUUAAUGUUUGAUGUUCUAACGUGGACCCGUAAUCCGGGUUGCGGACAGUGUCUGGUGGGUAGUUUGACUGGGGCGGUCUCCUCCUAAAGAGUAACGGAGGAGCACGAAGGUUGGCUAAUCCUGGUCGGACAUCAGGAGGUUAGUGCAAUGGCAUAAGCCAGCUUGACUGCGAGCGUGACGGCGCGAGCAGGUGCGAAAGCAGGUCAUAGUGAUCCGGUGGUUCUGAAUGGAAGGGCCAUCGCUCAACGGAUAAAAGGUACUCCGGGGAUAACAGGCUGAUACCGCCCAAGAGUUCAUAUCGACGGCGGUGUUUGGCACCUCGAUGUCGGCUCAUCACAUCCUGGGGCUGAAGUAGGUCCCAAGGGUAUGGCUGUUCGCCAUUUAAAGUGGUACGCGAGCUGGGUUUAGAACGUCGUGAGACAGUUCGGUCCCUAUCUGCCGUGGGCGCUGGAGAACUGAGGGGGGCUGCUCCUAGUACGAGAGGACCGGAGUGGACGCAUCACUGGUGUUCGGGUUGUCAUGCCAAUGGCACUGCCCGGUAGCUAAAUGCGGAAGAGAUAAGUGCUGAAAGCAUCUAAGCACGAAACUUGCCCCGAGAUGAGUUCUCCCUGAGACUUAGAGUCUCCUGAAGGAACGUUGAAGACGACGACGUUGAUAGGCCGGGUGUGUAAGCGCAGCGAUGCGUUGAGCUAACCGGUACUAAUGAACCGUGAGGCUUAACCUUACA
rnacentral:rRNA from 1 species